rnacentral:rRNA from 1 species
GACGAACGCUGGCGGCGUGCUUAACACAUGCGAGUCGAACGGAAAGGCCUUUUUCGGGGGGUACUCGAGUGGCGAACGGGUGAGUAACACGUGAGUAUCCUGUCCUUGACUUUGGGAUAACUUCUGGAAACUGGGGCUAAUACCGGAUAGGAGCUCCUGCUGCAUGGGGGGGGUUGGAGAGAUUCGGCGGUUGGGGAUGUAGUCGCGGCUUGUCUGCUUGUUGGUGGGGUGGUGGCUUAACAAGGCUUUGACGGGUAGCCGGGCUGUGAGGGGGAACGGGCACAUUGGGACUGGGACACAGCCCAGACUCCUACGGGAGGCAGCAGUGGGGGAUAGUGCACAAUGGGUGGGAGCCUGAUGCAGCAACGGCGGGGGCGGGAUGACGGCCUUCGGGUUGUAAACCGCUUUCGCUCAUGGCGGAGCUUUGUGUGACGGUAGUGGGUAAAGAAGCACCGGCUAACUACGUG